GUCUGAAAUAAAGGAGUUAUUGGGAGUAUUACAACAGCUAUCUGAGUCUUGUUUAUUGCAAACAACUGACGGAAUGGAUAAUGCUGGAUCAUCUCACAAACUCAUGGUGUCUAAUGCUGCCAUGAAUGCUGCUGCAAGUGGCUCCCAGGAUUGCAUGAACAAUUCUCCUCUCUUUUCUAGCCUUUUAAGUUAUACACCACCCUUCCUUUUGGAAUUGUUCCCAUCCUCAAGUAUCUUAAUCUGGACUUGUUCUUAUGUCAGAGGGCAGAGUUACAGGCAUUUGAUUCCCCACUUGGCCAUUAAACCCACUGUGAGUCAUGAACUCAAUCUCAGAAACUCUUCUGAUAGGUUUUCAAAAGUUUGUUAGGACUCGAAGGCACACAACAAUAAUAAAAGUAAUAGCUGAACGG
rnacentral:lncRNA from 11 species